GGGCGUUUAGCUCAGUUGGCUAGAGCGCAUCCUUGACGUGGAUGAGGUCAUAAGUUCGAGUCUUAUAACGCCCA
rnacentral:tRNA from 1 species